AUUGAACGCUGGCGGCAGGCUUAACACAUGCAAGUCGAGCGGGCGAGGUUGCUUCGGUAACUGAGCUAGCGGCGGACGGGUGAGUAAUGCUUAGGAAUCUGCCUAUUAGUGGGGGACAACAUUCCGAAAGGAAUGCUAAUACCGCAUACGCCCUACGGGGGAAAGCAGGGGAUAUUCGGACCUUGCGCUAAUAGAUGAGCCUAAGUCAGAUUAGCUAGUUGGUGGGGUAAAGGCCUACCAAGGCGACGAUCUGUAGCGGGUCUGAGAGGAUGAUCCGCCACACUGGGACUGAGACACGGCCCAGACUCCUACGGGAGGCAGCAGUGGGGAAUAUUGGACAAUGGGCGCAAGCCUGAUCCAGCCAUGCCGCGUGUGUGAAGAAGGCCUUUUGGUUGUAAAGCACUUUAAGCGAGGAGGAGGCUACUUGGAUUAAUACUCUAGGAUAGUGGACGUUACUCGCAGAAUAAGCACCGGCUAACUCUGUGCCAGCCGCCGCCGUAACAC
rnacentral:rRNA from 1 species